GCCCUACGGGAGGCAGCAGUGGGGAAUUUUGGACAAUGGGCGCAAGCCUGAUCCAGCCAUGCCGCGUGCAGGAAGAAGGCCUUCGGGUUGUAAACUGCUUUUGUCAGGGAAGAAAUCCUCUGGGUUAAUACCUCGGAGGGAUGACAGUACCUGAAGAAUAAGCACCGGCUAACUACGUGCCAGCAGCCGCGGUAAUACGUAGGGUGCGAGCGUUAAUCGGAAUUACUGGGCGUAAAGCGUGCGCAGGCGGCUUUGGAAGACAGAUGGGAAAUCCCCGGGCUCAACCGGGGAACUGCUUUUGUGACUGCAAGGCUAGAGUGCGGCAGAGGGAGAUGGAAUUCCGCGUGUAGCAGUGAAAUGCGUAGAUAUGCGGAGGAACACCGAUGGCGAAGGCAAUCUCCUGGGCCUGCACUGACGCUCAUGCACGAAAGCGUGGGGAGCAAACAGGAUUAGAUACCCCAGUAGUCC
rnacentral:rRNA from 1 species